rnacentral:rRNA from 1 species
GACGAACGCUGGCGGCGUGCCUAACACAUGCAAGUCGAACGGAAAGGCCCUGCUUUUGUGCGGUGCUCGAGUGGCGAACGGGUGAGUAACACGUGUGUAUCCUGCCCUUGUCUUUGGGAUAACUUCAGGAAACUGGGGCUAAUAUAGGAUGGGAGCUCCUGCUGCAUGGUGGGCGUUGGAAAGUUUCGGCGGUUGGGGAUGGACUGGCGGCUUAUCGGCUAGUUGGUGGGGUAGUGGCUUACCAAGGCUUUGACGGAUAGCCGGCCUGAGAGGGUGAACGGCGACAAUGGGACUAAGGGAGGGAGCAGAGGGGAACGUGAGGCAAUGGUGGGGAGUAUUGCACAGUGAGCGGAAGCGUGUGACGACGGCGCCGCGUGCGGAAAGACCGCCUUCUGGGUAAGAACCGCUGUCGCCUGAGACGAAGCGGUAGUGACGGUAAUGAGUAAAGAAGCACCGGCUAACUACGUG